rnacentral:rRNA from 1 species
GUAUAAAGGCAAAAGCGCGCUUAACUGCGAGACCCACAAGUCGAGCAGGUACGAAAGUAGGUCUUAGUGAUCCGGUGGUUCUGUAUGGAAGGGCCAUCGCUCAACGGAUAAAAGGUACUCUGGGGAUAACAGGCUGAUACCGCCCAAGAGUUCAUAUCGACGGCGGUGUUUGGCACCUCGAUGUCGGCUCAUCUCAUCCUGGGGCUGAAGCAGGUCCCAAGGGUAUGGCUGUUCGCCAUUUAAAGAGGUACGCGAGCUGGGUUUAGAACGUCGUGAGACAGUUCGGUCCCUAUCUACCGUGGGCGCUGGAAAUUUGAGAGGAUCUGCUCCUAGUACGAGAGGACCAGAGUGGACGAACCUCUGGUGUACCGGUUGUGACGCCAGUCGCAUCGCCGGGUAGCUAUGUUCGGAAGGGAUAACCGCUGAAAGCAUCUAAGCGGGAAGCCUACCUCAAGAUAAGAUUUCCCUAGGACUUUAUGUCCUCUAAAGAGCCGUUCGAGACUAGGACGUUGAUAGGUUGGAUGUGGAAGCAUAGUGAUAUGUGAAGCUGACCAAUACUAAUUGCUCGUGAGGCUUGACUAUACAACACCCAAGCAGUUG